rnacentral:ncRNA from 1 species
AGGGUAAGUUGAUGUACUGGUUUCAGCGGGGAACAGCCGCUGAUGGAAACGGGGAAAGAACGGUGAAAAUCCGUCGCUGUCCCGCAGCUGUGAAACUUCGCCACGCGCGAAGUCAGUCAGAACGCCCGCCAGGCCAUGUCUCGACGA